rnacentral:rRNA from 1 species
UGGGGAAUAUUGCACAAUGGGCGCAAGCCUGAUGCAGCGACGCCGCGUGAGGGAUGACGGCCUUCGGGUUGUAAACCUCUUUCAGUACCGACGAAGCGCAAGUGACGGUAGGUACAGAAGAAGCACCGGCCAACUACGUGCCAGCAGCCGCGGUAAUACGUAGGGUGCGAGCGUUGUCCGGAAUUACUGGGCGUAAAGAGCUCGUAGGCGGUUUGUCGCGUCGUCUGUGAAAACCCGCAGCUCAACUGCGGGCUUGCAGGCGAUACGGGCAGACUUGAGUACUGCAGGGGACGCUGGAAUUCCUGGUGUAGCGGUGAAAUGCGCAGAUAUCAGGAGGAACACCGGUGGCGAAGGCGGGUCUCUGGGCAGUAACUGACGCUGAGGAGCGAAAGCGUGGGUAGCGAACA